rnacentral:miRNA from 11 species
UUUGUGUGUAUAUAUAUAUAUGUGUGUGUGUGUGUGUGUGUGUGUGUGUAUACACAUGCACACACACACACACGCACAUGCAUGAAUAUAUAUA